CGUAUCUGUGGAAAUUUGUCCCAUUCCCACUGCAUUAUUUCAUGACGAUGAGGAAGAGAAAUAAGUCUGAUCUUGCCCAUGAAUAGGAAAAUUUAGUAGGAUCAGUCCCUAACAUUCCUUUAUUCGACCACAGUGCUACCGUACUAAUAAGAGAUGGCAUGAGCUUAGUUCGGUCAUUUGAUGUUAAAAGGAUGUCCACAUUUUGAGACUUGGCAAAAUCUUACAUUAUGCAGGUACAAUCAUGCUUCCAAUACACAGACAAGGUUGUUGCUGUCUUCGAUCGCUAUGACACUGAACAUUCCAUAAAAUCAACAGAGCGUCAUAGACGAUCGGCAACAACAACUACGCAAAAAGUUUAUCAUAUCGCUGAAGGCCGAACUGUUCCAAACUGGAAAUUUUUUUCUAUCAAGCAACAAAAACAAGCAAGCUCUGAUUACUUUCCUUUGUGGUUAUCUGAGCAGCAAUUUGACUGAUACGUUCCAGGAGGAAAAUAAAUGUUUAGUUGAGCAUGUUAUCGAUCUCCCAGACAUUUUCUGUUCGCACGAAGAAGCAGACACAAGAAUCUUGCUUCAUGUUAUACACUCUGAUAAAUAUUUCAGCAGUUGAAUAUAAGAAAUGAAUCAGAGUUAAGUGUUUCGAUACAGAUGUUCUUGUGCUCUGUGUUCAUUAUUUCAAGGUAUUUGUGUCGACUGAACAAAUGUGGUUUCUGACGGGGUCAACUAAUUCUCUAAGGGACUGUAGAAAGUACAUACCAAUUGAUGAGUUCAGUAAAUCUCUUUCAUCUUUACUAGGUAACAUUCUCACUGCAGUUCAUGCUUGAACUGGUUGUGAUACCACUUCCACUAUAUUUGGGUUUUGCAAAAAAAAAUGUAUUCAAGUUGAUAAGAAAAUCUCUGAGUAAGUUUCCAAAUCUCAAAAACUUUGACUAGAUUGAUUUUACCACAUCGUUGUCAGCAGCAAGAGAUCUUAUUUCAAGCUUGUAUGAUCCAAAAGACAAUUCCCUUCAUCAC
rnacentral:lncRNA from 1 species